CCUACGGGAGGCAGCAGUGGGGAAUAUUGCGCAAUGGGCGAAAGCCGGACGCAGCGACGCCGCGGGAGGGAUGAAGGUCUUCGGAUCGUAAACCUCUGUCAGCAGGGAAGAACGGUCACUGUGCUAAGCAGCAGUGAAUUGACGGUACCGGCAAAGGAAGCACCGGCUAACUCCGUGCCAGCAGCCGCGGUAAUACGGAGGGUGCGAGCGUUAAGCGGAAUUACUGGGCGGAAAGCGCUCGUAGGCGGUAUGUCAAGUCAAGGGUGAAAUCCCCGCGCUCAACGUGGGAACUGCCUUUGAAACUGCCAAACUGGAGUGUGUGCGAUGCUAGUGGCAUUCCAGGUGU
rnacentral:rRNA from 1 species